CUGCCACAUCCAACAUAAUGAAUAAAGUCUCAUACGUGCAGCUGAGUACAGUUUAAGAUACCUUUUUCUUUUUAGAUUGAGGAAAAGAGACUCAGGAUAGAACAAACAUUUUCCUUUCAUUGAGCUUAUCUUGCAGAACUUUUAAUCAGUUGUGAAUAAACUAUGUCAUCAACUUCAUUACCAUCAUCAUGCUUAGAGAAAAAGAAAACCGGUAAGUCACAGGCAUCAGACACAGAGUCCAAAGCAGACCUCCUGUCUACCUGACCACCCCAGCUGUGUGAUCUUGGACAAACUACUCAAGCUCUGUGUACCCCACUUUUCUAAUAUGUGAAUGAGAGCAACAAUAAUAAUACAUACCUCAUAGGGUCCUUGUGAGGAAGGUUCACAUUUACUAUUUUUGAAGGCACCCAGAAUGGUGCCUGGCACGUAACGGGUACAGCUCAGCAUUUACUCCAUUAUUCUAACCUCAGAAAAUGAAUAAUUCCUCCUUUUUGAGGUAAGCGCCCAUGCUUGCACCCUGAUGCCAUUUCCGUCAUCGCCAACGAGAGCUGGCUCUGUCGGUGUCUCUUCCUCUAACUGCAACCUCUCACUCUCUUCUAGCUCCCUCUCUGCCUCUAAACGUGUGCAGGUGUGGAAGAAUUAGGGCAGGGCUUGCAGAGGAACGUCAGCUGAAACUAUUCCCAGACCAAACUGAGGGUCAGGCUGCCUAUUCUCGUGGCCUACUAAUAAGAUGCAGAUGAACUGGGAAAAAAGGGAUUUUAUUUCUGUAACUGGGUCCAGAGAGAAGGCCUGGAAAAUAUCACCAGACCACCUCAAAAUUCCAAAGUUUUCCAGAGCUUAUAUACCUUCUCAGCUAUAUAUCUACUUGUAAGUGUGCAUUUGUCUAAAGACAUAGUGAUUAACUUCUCCUGAUCUGUGACAGCAAAAUCAGUUUUGCUUCUUAAUCUAGAGCAUAUAUCCAAGGAGAGGCACCUUAUCAUCCCAGCAGAUAUAUGGAAUGCUUUAAAGCAGGAUCUGACGUACUCCAUUAAGGCAUCUGAAAGCAGACACAUCGUACCCAAACUAAAUCAUUAUGGGCAGUCAGGGAUACCACAGGUAAACACCAAGUCACACAGAGUUAGCGUGAAAUUCUUACAAACGACACACGAUUUACAAAACCCCAGAAAGGUACUCAGGUACCAAGAGGCCAAAACAAUGACCAGCCACUCCAAAAGAGUUUUGUUUCUGUACAUGCCAUAUUUGCAGUGUAGAAAUAAAUGCUUUCUAUGCGCUUUGCCCUAGGAUAUCACUCCUUCUGACAUGUGGAGUUACUUUUCCUUAAAAAAAUAUAUCAUGUAGAGAAUACACAAACAAUAAUAAAUGAUAUAGAACAUUUAUUAUUUUCACUAGUGAGGGGGUCAAUUCAGCACUUACAAAGACAUAUUAAGUGAAUCAUAAAGGUCACCAAAAUGCAAGAAAAUCUGAUAAACGCUGCAUUAUUAGUAUUCAACAGUGCAGCAAGAUUUUUAGCGACGGCAUUGGGCUUAAUUUGGAACUAUAGCCAUGAGAAUAUCUUUAAGUUCAAAGAAUCACAAAAUGUCCAAAAAUAAAAUUUUAAUUAGUAAAAAUAUGUAUUUUUCCCUCCAAGGGCCCAAAGGAAGUGUUCAGUUACUUUGGAAGCCAUGAAUUUUAUCAAACACACACAAGAAUAUGAAUCUGGAACAUUCCAAUUCUCAUUGAAUUCUACCCACUGAAUCUUCAUGACCUGGAGCAAGUCACUUAAAUUCUUUAGAUUUUAUCCACAAAAAGUGGGCAUAAACAUAAAGGUAUAUGUCAAAAAGAAAUUCUAAACAAGACUACAGUAAAGCUAAAGUUGGUUACUAAGGCUUACAAUUUCAACAACUCACUGUACAGUACAAUAAUUUUUAAUUCUGCUACUUGUAGCUGGAGGAAGCAUGGAUAAUUACAAUUCUCAGGGAAUUCAAAUCAAAUUCUUCAGAAAAAUUAAUAGUUUCAACUUACUAAGCUACUUAAUCUGUUCUCCUAGAGUUGUUUAUAUCAGCUAAUUAUAGGGCUUGACCCUUCUUCUCUCCCCUCCACCUUCUGGUAGAGCGGCAGAAAGUCUUGAGGGAGAAGUGACAAGAGGGAGAAAAGCAGCCACAGAUUGAAAUGAGGUAUUUGCUGAUUUCAUGAACCCCAAUCUGUAACUUAUAGUUUUCUGAAGAAGCUGUAUAGUUUGGCAAAAAUACAUCAUCAGAAGUGGGAAAAAGAAAAAUUAUCUUGAAACUUUAAAA
rnacentral:lncRNA from 1 species